CGAAUUCCAAGCUUGAGUUUGAUCCUGGCUCAGAUUGAACGCUGGCGGAAUGCUUUACACAUGCAAGUCGAACGGCAGCACGGGAGCUUGCUCCUGGUGGCGAGUGGCGAACGGGUGAGUAAUAUAUCGGAACGUACCCAGACGUGGGGGAUAACUAGUCGAAAGACUAGCUAAUACCGCAUACGUCCUGAGGGAGAAAGCGGGGGAUCGCAAGACCUCGCGCGUUUGGAGCGGCCGAUAUCUGAUUAGCUAGAUGGUGAGGUAAAGGCUCACCAUGGCGACGAUCAGUAGCUGGUCUGAGAGGAUGAUCAGCCACACUGGAACUGAGACACGGUCCAGACUCCUACGGGAGGCAGCAGUGGGGAAUUUUGGACAAUGGGCGAAAGCCUGAUCCAGCCAUUCCGCGUGAGUGAAGAAGGCCUUCGGGUUGUAAAGCUCUUUCGGCAGGAACGAAACGGUGAGAGCUAAUAUCUCAUUACUAAUGACGGUACCUGAAGAAGAAGCACCGGCUAACUACGUGCCAGCAGCCGCGGUAAUACGUAGGGUGCGAGCGUUAAUCGGAAUUACUGGGCGUAAAGCGUGCGCAGGCGGUGACUCAAGUCAGAUGUGAAAGCCCCGGGCUUAACCUGGGAACGGCAUUUGAAACUAGGUCGCUAGAGUAUGGCAGAGGGGGGUAGAAUUCCACGUGUAGCAGUGAAAUGCGUAGAGAUGUGGAGGAAUACCGAUGGCGAAGGCAGCCCCCUGGGUCAAUACUACGCUCC
rnacentral:rRNA from 1 species